rnacentral:rRNA from 1 species
CCUACGGGGGGCAGCAGUGGGGAAUAUUGCACAAUGGGGGAAACCCUGAUGCAGCAACGCCGCGUGAGCGAUGAAGGCCUUCGGGUCGUAAAGCUCUGUCCUAAGGGAAGAAUACUGACGGUACCUUAGGAGGAAGCCCCGGCUAACUACGUGCCAGCAGCCGCGGUAAUACGUAGGGGGCUAGCGUUAUCCGGAAUUACUGGGCGUAAAGGGUGCGUAGGCGGCCCUUCAAGUCAGAGGUGAAAGGCUACGGCUCAACCGUAGUAGGCCUUUGAAACUGUAGGGCUUGAGUGGAGGAGAGGAGAGGGGAAUGCCCAGGGGAGCGGUGAAAUGCGGAGAGAUUGGGAGGAACACCAGGUGCGAAGGGGGCUCUCUGGACUGUAACUGACGCUGGGGCACGAAAGCGUGGGGAGCGAACAGGAUUAGAUACCCGAGUAGUC